rnacentral:rRNA from 1 species
GUUGUAGUCUAGAGAAGCAACGUCCGCGCCGGACCUUGGAUAAGUCGGUUGGAAAACCGCGUCAAAGAGGGUGACAAUCCCGUUUGUACCAAGGACGCCCGUGUGCAUUGUGUCGUGCUUUCCAAGAGUCGAGUUGUUUGGGAAUGCAGCUCAAAUUGGGAGGUAGAUUCCUUCUAAAGCUAAAUAUUGGCGAGAGACCGAUAGCGAACAAGUACCGUGAGGGAAAGAUGAAAAGCACUUUGGAAAGAGAAUGAAACAGUAUGUGAAAUUGCUGAAAGGGAAACGAUUGAGCAUGAUGUUCGCUGAGGGUAUUCAGGCCUCACGGCUGUACUUACCCUUCUGCGAGCCAGCAUCGGUUUGUGCUGCGGUAAAAGGGUGCGAGGAACGUGGCUGCCUCGGCAGUGUUAUAGCCCCGCACUGGAUGCCGCGACGCAGACCGAGGAACGCAGGGCGCCGCAAGGCAACACCCCCGUGGUGUCGAGCCCUUAGGAUGCUGGUGUGAGUGCUUAACCGACCCGUCUUGAAACACGGACCA